rnacentral:rRNA from 1 species
CAGUCGCCGCGGGAAUACGAAGGGUGCAAGCGUUAAUCGGAAUUACUGGGCGUAAAGCGUGCGUAGGCGGUUUGUUAAGUCUGUUGUGAAAUCCCCGGGCUCAACCUGGGAAUGGCAAUGGAUACUGGCAAGCUAGAGUGUGUCAGAGGAUGGUGGAAUUCCCGGUGUAGCGGUGAAAUGCGUAGAGAUCGGGAGGAACAUCAGUGGCGAAGGCGGCCAUCUGGGACAACACUGACGCUGAGGCACGAAAGCGUGGGGAGCAAACAGGAUUAGAGACCCCCGUAGUCCCUGUCUCUUAUAC